UACGUAGGGUGCGAGCGUUAAUCGGAAUUACUGGGCGUAAAGGGUGCGUAGGCGGCUUUCUAAGUUGGAUGUGAAAACUAUGGGCUCAACCCAUAGCCUGCAUCCAAAACUGGAGAGCUUGGGUUCUGGAGGGGAAAGCGGAAUUCCUGGUGUAGCGGUGAAAUGCGUAGAUAUCAGGAGGAACACCGGUGGCGAAGGCGGCUUUCUGGACAGAAACUGACGCUGAUGCGCGAAAGCUAGGGGAGCAAACAGG
rnacentral:rRNA from 1 species